UACGGAGGGGGCUAGCGUUGUUCGGAAUUACUGGGCGUAAAGCGCACGUAGGCGGCUUUGUAAGUUAGAGGUGAAAGCCUGGAGCUCAACUCCAGAAUUGCCUUUAAGACUGCAUCGCUUGAAUCAUGGAGAGGCGGGUGGAAUUCCGAGUGUAGAGGUGAAAUUCGUAGAUAUUCGGAAGAACACCAGUGGCGAAGGCGACUUACUGGACGACUGUUGACACUGAGGUGCGAAAGCGUGGGGAGCAAACAGG
rnacentral:rRNA from 1 species